rnacentral:rRNA from 1 species
CGAACGAUGAAGCCUAGCUUGCUAGGUGGAUUAGUGGCGAACGGGUGAGUAAUACGUGAGUGACCUACCUUUGACUCUGGGAUAAGCCUGGGAAACUGGGUCUAAUACCGGAUACGACCAAUCUCCGCAUGGGGUGUUGGUGGAAAGCGUUAUGGAGUGGUUUUAGAUGGGCUCACGGCCUAUCAGCUUGUUGGUGAGGUAAUGGCUUACCAAGGCGACGACGGGUAGCCGGCCUGAGAGGGUGACCGGCCACACUGGGACUGAGACACGGCCCAGACUCCUACGGGAGGCAGCAGUGGGGAAUAUUGCACAAUGGGCGCAAGCCUGAUGCAGCGACGCCGCGUGAGGGAUGACGGUCUUCGGGUUGUAAACCUCUGUUAGCAUCGAAGAAGCGAAAGUGACGGUAGGUGCAGAGAAAGCGCCGGCUAACUACGUGCCAGCAGCCGCGGUAAUACGUAGGGCGCGAGCGUUGUCCGGAAUUAUUGGGCGUAAAGAGCUUGUAGGCGGUUGGUCGCGUCUGCUGUGAAAGGCUGGGGCUUAACCCUGGUUUUGCAGUGGGUACGGGCUAACUAGAGUGCAGUAGGGGAGACUGGAAUUCCUGGUGUAGCGGUGGAAUGCGCAGAUAUCAGGAGGAACACCGAUGGCGAAGGCAGGUCUCUGGGCUGUAACUGACGCUGAGAAGCGAAAGCAUGGGGAGCGAACAGGAUUAGAUACCCUGGUAGUCCAUGCCGUAAACGUUGGGCACUAGGUGUGGGGGACAUUCCACGUUUUCCGCGCCGUAGCU